UCGUCUAAAUCUUAUCGUCUUUGUCGUCAUUUACUAAAUGAUUCAUCCUCCUUUACAAUCUCCGACAACGGCUAUACCUUAGCUUACACCACAAUGGAGUUUAAUGCUAGAUGGACGUGUGGGAUCUCUUUUUGGGUCUUUUAGCAUAAUCAAUUGCGACGUUUAGUCUUUUAGCAUAAUCAAUCGAAACAUUUCAAGUUAUAGAUCUGUACAUUCAAUGCAGCUUCCUCAUCUCCAAGUAGGUGUAUCUUUACCUAUAAAAAAGGUUGUGCUUUAGUCUUGACGCAAUAGACGAAUCUCCUUCUGAGUAUGCUCUUUGAGGUUUGAUACCUACCUUACAACUCGAGCAGAAGGGUAAUCCAACGCUUCUGGUCUUCUCAAGCCUUGGUUAUUAACCACAGUAUCUGCGUUUUCGUUCUAAUCUUUAUGGAAGAUUAAGGGUAACUUGAUCUUUCUUAACUUUGUCUUCAACAGUUUCUUUUGAUAACCAAAAUAUGAUUACGUAAGCAACUUUAGUUUACAGUCUUUAGCUUCUGGGAAUGGAUAUCAUCUCAAGCUUUUAAACUUCCUAGGUGGAGCAGAAACAUUUGAGGCCGUUCUGAAAUUCUGCUACACUGUCUCGCUGGACUUGAAUCCUCUCAAUGUAGUUUCACGGAUGUGCAUUAGAGUAUUACUGUAUAUGAUUGAAGAAUUUCAAGAGGGGAAUCGAAUCUCCCAGACAGAUACUUCCAUAACUUUUGUAGUACUUGCCUCAUGGAGUGAUACGUUAACUGUUCUGAGAUAUCAUGUGCAAGCUUAUCUCCAUGGGCAGAAAACUACAGAUUGUAAGGAGUUGCUGGGACUUGCUUGAUUUGAAAUCCUGCAAUGAUAAUCAUGCCAUACCAGAAGAUGUAGAUAACAGUGCAAGAAGUCAAUACAAUUGUAUAUCUAACCUUCAACUUGAUCACUUCAUGAGGGUUAUAAUAGCUGUAAAUUAACUGCAAGACGGGUCAAACCAGAGAUUAUAGGUAAAUGCAUCAUGAAGUACACAGAGAACUGGUUGCCACUAAUCGAUGAUGAUUUGGAAGGAAUAUGAGCUCACGAGUCAGGAAACAAUGAGUUGCAGGUCAGUGUUAAAUUUAUCAUUUUAGAAUGUCAAGAACAAAAGUCAUUGAAAGCUUAUUUGAGAUCCAUACGGAGCUUAGACAAAUACCGGGAAGGAAUGGAAUCGACGAGCUGGAAGCCCGAGGCUUAACGAAUGGGUCUUUCUGAUGAUCAGUGACUGGUGAGACUCUAUGGGAGGAUUUCAGCAUUUUAAGGCUUCUAAAGUGUUUGAUUCACACUCAGGUUACUUUCUCAAGAACAAUCUCGAGGAAGCUGCUCAGAUUCUGGGAAACAUGAAACAUUAAAGUGGUGAGAGUAUAGUAGUUGCUGGGAAUUUUCCGUGGAGUCCGCUGUGGUCGUGUUACUGACGUUGUAGCUCUGAGUCAUCCUAUAAACAAGAAACUUAGCAUGAUUACAUUCUUUCUAUAGUUUUCUGACUUUUACGUAUCUACCUCUCAACAUUUUUUUUUAAUUUGUUUAUCUUUUCCAAUUGGGUUAAGAACUUAAGUAUCAUAAUAUUACAACUUGAUUGAUAACUCUUCUAUUUUCUUCUAUUUUAUGUUUCAAUUGCGGGAUUCAAUGAGAAAUUAUGAUU